GCCGAGGUGGUGGAAAUGGUAGACACGCUAUCUUGAGGUGGUAGUGCCCAUUUGGGAUUGCGGGUUCAAGUCCCGUCCUCGGUA
rnacentral:tRNA from 1 species